rnacentral:rRNA from 1 species
CAGUUAUCGUUUAUUUGAUAGUACCUUACUACUUGGAUACCUGUGGUAAUUCUAGAGCUAAUACAUGCUAAAAACCUCGACUUCGGAAGGGGUGUAUUUAUUAGAUAAAAAACCAAUGCCCUCCGGGGCUCUCUGGUGAAUCAUAAUAACUUGACGAAUCGCAUGGCCUUGCGCCGGCGAUGGUUCAUUCAAAUUUCUGCCCUAUCACCUUUCGAUUGUUGGGUCUUGGCCAACAAUGGGAUCUACGGGUAACGGGGAAUUAGGUAUGUGGGAUCCGCGAGCAGUGGGAGUUAGGAUCGCUGAGACUCGUGCAGGGUUCGAUUCCGGAGAGGGAGCCUGAGAAACGUAAGUUCUCGACUUAUUUUCGGUUUGUCCGGGCUGGCACUGACCCUAUUAUUAGGGCUACCACAUCCAAGGAAGGCAGCAGGCGCGCAAAUUACCCAAUCCCGACACGGGGAGGUAGUGUAAGUUGAAUCGUUCCGGUUGGUAGUAGCGCACCCAGGUUAAUGUCGUUUCAGGACAAUAAAUACUGAUGCAGGGCUCAUUUGAGUCUUGCAAUUGGAAUGAGUACAAUUUAAAUCUCUUAACGAGGAACAAUUGGAGGGCAAGUCUGGUGCCAGCAGCCGCGGUAAUUCCAGCUCCAAUAGCGUAUAUUAAAGUUGGUAUGUGUUGAUUCCACGCCCGUAACCAGAAUUCGGUGGCUAAUGCCCCCUACAGUUGCAGUUAAAAAGCUCGUAGUUGAAACUUGGAUCUGGCUGACUGGUCCGCCUCACCGCGUGCACUAGCUCGGCCGGGUCUUUCCUCCUGGGGAUCCCCAUGCCCUUCAUUGGGUGUGGUGGGGAAUCAGGACUUUUACUUUGAAAAAAUUAGAGUGUUCAAAGCAGGCCUAUGCUCGAAUACAUUAGCAUGGAAUAAUAGAAUAGGACGUGUGGUCUUAUUUUGUUGGUUUCUAAGACCGCCGUAAUG